UNUCACCUUUAGGGGAAACUGCGAAUGGCUCAUUAAAACAGUUACAAUUUAUUUAGUGGUUGAAUUUUACAUGGAUAACUGUAGUAAUUCUAGAGCUAAUACAUGAGAAUAGAUCGGACUCUACGGAACGAUCGCACUUAUUAGAUACAAAACCAUCGUAACCCACGGUUACUAGUAAAAGGUGAUUCAUUAUAAAUGUGUAGACUGUCGCAGGACAGUGUACUAUUCAAAUUUCUGACCUAUCAGCUCUCGAUGGUAAGAUAGAGGCUUACCAUGGCAUUGACGGGUAACGGGGAAUUAGGGUUCGACUCCGGAGAGGGAGCCUGAGAAACGGCUACCACAUCUAAGGAAGGCAGCAGGCGCGCAAAUUACCCAAUCCUGACAUAGGGAGGUAGUGACAAGAAAUAUCAAUACAUGGUUUUAUUCUAUGUAAUUGGAAUGAGGGAAUUUUAAAUAUAUAUUCGAGUAACAAUUGGAGGGCAAGUCUGGUGCCAGCAGCCGCGGUAAUUCCAGCUCCAAUAGCGUAUGCUAAAGUUGUUGCGGUUAAAAAGCUCGUAGUUGGAAUUUAGCCCAAGUCAACCGCGUCGCACCAAACAGUGUAACGCAGGGUGUACUAGGCUCUCUUCAAUUCCUAUAUGCAUUCUUCAGUGAAUGGUAUGGGUUUCGAAGCAUUUACUUUGAAGAAAUUAGAGUGUUUCAAGCAGGUUAUACGCCGUGAAUAUGUUAGCAUGGAAUAACAAAAGAAGACAUUGGUCUUAUUUUGUUGGUUUAUAUCACCAWUGUUAAUAAUUAAUAGGAACAAUCGGGGCAUUCGUAUUCGCUUGUUAGAGGUGGAAUUCUUGGAUCUUGCGAGGACGCUCGACUGCGAAAGCAUCUGUCAGGAAUGUUUUCAUUAAUCAAGAAACGAAAGUUAGGGGAUCGAAGACGAUUAGACACCGUCCUAGUCUAAACCAUAAAACUAUGCCAACUAGAGAUUGGAGACUAUCACACUGUGAUGUCCUUCAGCAUCUAAUGGGAAACCAAAGUCUAUGGGUUCCGGGGGGAGUAUGUUCGCAAGGCUGAAACUUAAAGGAAUUGACGGAAGGGCACCACCAGGAGUGGAGCCUGCGGCUUAAUUUGACUCAACGCGGGAACCUUACCAGGUCCAGACAUAAGAAGGAUUGACAGAGAAAAAGCUCUUUCAUGAUUUUAUGGGUGGUGGUGCAUGGCCGUUCUUAGUCGGUGGAGUGAUUUGUCUGGUUAAUUCCGUUAACGAACGAGACCUUGACCUACUAAAUAACAUGAAUUUACACCGUAAACGUUGUGUUUCUUAGGGGGACUUUGUACAUAUAGUGCAAGGAAGUACGAGGCAAUAACAGGUCUGUGAUGCCCUUAGAUGUUCUGGGCUGCACGCGCGCUACACUGAUACAAGCAGAGAGUUUCCCUUCUGAAAGGAAUGGAGAAUCUUGAAGUUGUGUCGUGAUGGGGAUAGUUUAUUGCAAUUAUUAAACUUGAACGAGGAAUUCCUAGUAAGUGUAAGGAAAUAACUUGCGCUGAUUACGUCCCUGCCCUUUGUACACACCGCCCGUCGCUCCUACCGAUUGAGUUAUCCGGUGAACUAUUUGGACCAUCCUUAGGACUAAUGUCAUCUGGAGGGGAAGUUUCGUGAACCUUAUAACUUAGAGGAAGGAGAAGUCGUAACAAGGUUUCUGUAGGUGAACCUGCAGAAGGAUCAA
rnacentral:rRNA from 1 species